UUUUGGAACAUUUGAAAACUGAGGUGUAGAACUCUUUAUUUACCCGCGAACAUGGUCAAUAACAUGUAAAUUACUUUCAACGGUAGACGAGCCAUGACAAAUCUAGAGGGAUUAGCGAAUUUACUUUUGGCGCCAAACUUUCGCCGAGAAACAAUAGUCCGGUAACAUUGGUUUACAUUAGAAAGAGCUGAAAAGCUUGACUCUCACGUGAAGGUCACUGAUGUUGUAACAAGUGUCACUAUGAACUCGAUCAGAAAACAAAUUGCUUCAAACUAGCCUGGAGGCAGGUAGCAGUGAUAUACGCAGAGAACUCCAACAGAGAACCGAGGUGUCAGAAAAGUGCUUGGUAUAAGCAGAUAUUCCAACACAUCUAAAAUGCUCACAGAAGGAAACAAACGCAACUCUGGAGACGAAUCCUCUGGAAGUGAUAUGCAAGUUGAACAAACAUCAACGAGAGAAGUUGGAAGAUUACUUGCUAACAUUGGAGACAAUUUGAAUCAAGCAGUGCGAGCUCAAAGGAGUGAAAACAGGGAGCCAGUUAUUCAGGUUUUUCAGCUGGCAAAUUUUGGAGGCGUCAACAUGUCCUUUCUCAUACCAAUACACGAUUCAUUUCAGUACGUGACAGAUGUUUCACUGCUUGUGUUUAUAAUUAGUUUUUACACCAGUAGGAGGUUCGUCCGAGUACGAGAUUCUUAGAAAGAAACGUGACAACAGAGUUACAUUGAUAAUAUAAAACUCCAGUUAGUAACGCUUGGAUAACUAUUAAAAGAGAGCCCAGUUUUUGUCGAACUUAUGAAAAUAGAAUUGAUUUUCAUUCUACUUGACGUCUGAAAAACGGUUCUGCCUGUUGAAACGAGAAUCAACUAGAACUCAUCUCGUACCGACAUUACUCGUACUGGUGUAAAGCAUUCGCAGUGAGACCGCUCUGAGCCGUGAAGAAAUUAUACUACAGCCCAGAAGCACUGAGGUGAAUACCGCUGGUUUUAUAUUAUUCUACCACCUUUUACACUUAUGCGUGAGAAAAUUUAUGUUUUGUGGAUGAAGUGAACCACGAAAAUCGAGAAGGAAUUUAUUUCAAGACAUCUGGCAAGGAAGCCCUUUGAACAAACUCUACCACGACUUAAUCGCAAGAAAUGGCGGUGAACUGAUUUUUACGAAGAAGUCGAGGGAAAAGUUUACUGCUGAGGAAGUGACUGAUUCACAAGAUGUUGAUAAGAUGAGGAAAAUCCAGAGGAACCGUCAUGCUAAAUAAUUUAUUUAUUUCACAGAUGUAAAUUAUUAUGAUAGAGACGAUACUGGACUAAUUAGCUUAAAAAUAAUGUUAACUUACAUACGGAGUGACUUUGUAGAUAUUUAAUUUUACGAUCUAGCUGACAAUUAGCAAAAAAAAAAAAAAAAAAAAAGAAAAAAAGAGGAAGCGAGCUUAUUGCUUAUGUUUUGUACCAAGAAGGGGAAAAUGUUCUUUGUGGCGAAAAAAGUGAUUGUUCAUACUGUAAAAAACAAAACAUGCUAAAAUUAGCC